CGAAGAGGUCCGGAGUCGGCGGGUUAUCAACCUUUGAACCACGCCCCGUCGGCAUCGACUUGACCUUCUU
rnacentral:sRNA from 1 species